rnacentral:rRNA from 1 species
AUUGAACGCUGGCGGCAGGCCUAACACAUGCAAGUCGAACGGUAGCACAGAGAGCUUGCUCUCGGGUGACGAGUGGCGGACGGGUGAGUAAUGUCUGGGAAACCGCCUGAUGGAGGGGGAUAACUACUGGAAACGGUAGCUAAUACCGCAUAACGUCGCAAGACCAAAGAGGGGGACCUUCGGGCCUCUUGCCAUCAGAUGUGCCCAGAUGGGAUUAGCUUGUAGGCGGGGUAAUGGCCCACCUAGGCGACGAUCCCUAGCUGGUCUGAGAACAGGACCAGCCACACUGGAACUGAGACACGGUCCAGACUCCUACGGGAGGCAGCAGUGGGGAAUAUUGCACAAUGGGCGCAAGCCUGAUGCAGCCAUGCCGCGUGUGUAAGAAGGCCUUCGGGUUGUAAAGCACUUUCAGCGGGGAGGAAGGCGGUACGGUUAAUAACCGUGCCGAUUGACGUUACCCGCAGAAGAAGCACUGGCUAACUCCGUGCCAGCCGCCGCCGUAA